UCAGAAAUAGUCCAUCCAUCUUACGCUGGGCACGUUUUCCAAAGCUGCUAUAACAGGAAGAGAGUCUUUUCUACUGACUCUUCCUGAAGCGAAAAACGCUAAUGUGUAGGUAUGCGUCUAAACCUUAAAUGGAAGCAGAUGUGGGCGCGGAAUGAAAGUUUACAUAGGGCUGUAAUCAGAGCGGGACUCUUUCUUUUAUUCAUCUGCUUGAUUUCCUUCUAUUUUUCUCAGCAAAUGAGGAGGCUGCACAAGCGUCACACGGGCCGCACAGCUGAGAGUGAUUAGCGUUAGCUGUAGUACUGGUAUUAUCAGAUUGGUACGGCUGCUCAGAGGACCAAAAAUGAUACAUGAGAUGAGAGAGGGAGAGAGAUAGAGAUUGCUCUUCAAACUGAGGUUCAUCAAUUGAAAUAGAGAUUCUUGCUCAGGUUACCGGAUGAUCCAGCAUCAGAAGCUUUUACAGUGAUCCUACUAUUUUCCAGGAGAAUGUGGGCAGUCCACCAUUAGUGGAGCUCUUUCAUGGCAGCGAUACAAAUGAAGCAGACAAAUACACACAAGCCAUGCUGAACACGAAUAAACUCAUUGCUUGGGAGCUCUUGGCGAAAGUGCUGAUAAAUCAAUCCCAUUUGCAUCUUUCAAAAUGUAGGAAAAGAAGAGGAUAUGUUGUACAUCAAGUAUUAUCAAAGCUAGUUCUAAUAAAGACAUGAGAAGAUGUUGUGUGUAUCCAUUUGGGAUCAUUAGUGUAAUGUGGUGUCUCAUCUGCAAUUGGCAACUAGGGGUAAUUUUUUAAUUCUGUAAUAUGGUUGUGUAUCAUGGUUGUGUACUAUAGAUGGUUUCAGCAGUAACAACAUAAACAAGUCAUCACAUAACUUCCGGUAAACUCUGUGAAGAAUAAAUAACAACAAAGUCAUUUUAAAGUAGUUUAUUUAUAUAACAAGCAAAUUAAACAACACACAGAUUACAUAGGAACCCAAAACAUUUGUUAUUUUCGAUGAGGUAUUUGUUUAAGAGUUCAGUUUCAGCAACUAGUCAGCCCAUUAAACAAACAGAAACCGGAAGUAAAGUUCGGAUCAGAUGCUUAUCGCAUCACUGCAUGUGCGCCCGAUGAAACGGUCUAUAGGUGACAUUAAAAUAAGAUGUCUUUACAAUGCCUUUAUGUUACUGUCCAAACUUUAUUUUAUUUAUAAAACAAAUAGAAAAAGGUGCAAAAGUUGUACCUUUUUGUCACUGGGACAGUACCUUCUAAUGUUGCUUUUCCAUUGCAUAGUACCCCACGAUUUGGGUCGGGUCAGCUUACCUUUGGGGGCUUUUCCACUGGGUGUAGUAGUACAUAGUACCCGAUACUUUUUUUAGUACCACCUCGGUUGGGGUUCCAAGCGACUCAAGCUAAUACCAAAAUGUGAUGUGAAAACACUGUAGAUAACUGAUUGGUCUGAGAAAAUCUUCACUUCCAGCGUCAUCGCUAUCAUGUAAAAGAUUAGCUUUACCUUCAUGCUAGCUUGCGCUGUCUCCAGCAAACAUAUUGUCAUCUGUGCUCUGCUAUAAGUUCCCAAACUCCCUUUUAGCAAUGAAAAACAUCCACAGGUUGAGAAUCAAGAACACCAUACAAUUUUUUCCAGACUUGCAGUUUGUGGUGACACAUUCGCGCCCCGCAUGUCCGCACAUAUUCUUAUAUGCAACUUAAAGGAUGCUCACCCGAACGCGUUGACUGAUGCCACAGGUGUUUGUACAGAAACUGUCAUGUAAGACAGAGGUAGUGAUAAACGUGAUGUUUAAACAUCUAUUUGUGGUAGCCAAUUUUAAUUUUUUUGGCGACUGAGAAAUAAAUGAAUGUAUGGGAAUGUACAAGGACGCUCUCACUUGUAUGAUGUCACAGCAGUAGGCAGCGCAAAUAUAAUGACACGCCUAUAAUCCCUCCCACUCCAAAGUGUUAUUAAACUCAAUGGAAAAGCUAACCAAGCCAAAUGGAGGUGAGCUGACGCGACCUGACCCAAACCAAACCGUGGGGUACUAUGCAAUGGAAAAGUGCCAUUAGGUACCUUUAAGUUACCAGCGUGUUACCUUAGAGGUACCAAUAUUUGCCAGCGUGCAGCAAUAUGUACCAAUCUUUUUGAAAAGGUAACACCCCAGUGACAACCUUUGUACCUUCAUGUACCUUUAUUUCUGAGAGUGUAUUGUCUCAAACCUUGAUAAUGUAUAAAAUGAUAUAUGAACUAAGACAAUCUAAACAAUUAAAUAAUAAUCAUAAGUGUAUACUUGUUUGCUAAGGAGACAACUUAAACUUGAACUUAAAAUCAAGGCAAGUUUUCUCAUUACCAAGCAAGCUGUAAAUGUAUCAAAUUGAACAAACACUGUUUAAAAAAUUAUCCAGUUGUUUGUAUUUGGUUAGUUAUGAAUUCCUUAGUAAGAUCAUUAAAUAGGGUUAGAAUUGAAAAUAUCUGUUCUAAAGAAUGAAUGAUGAAUUGAAAUUAAAUCCGCAUGUUUCAAAAUAAAAUUAGAAUUUUUAAGAAAACAGAGUGAAUAGACAAGUAAGGGUGUUUAUUUGUAAAAGUUCACAGAGCUAAAAUAGUCGGAGAAACAUGCAGGGUUUACCAUAACUGUUGGCUAUUGUUAAAAGUUAAAUGUUUACAUACAGCUCUGUCUUAGAUGAUAACCAGCUUUAAAAAAACAAGAAAAAAAGAGAAGCUGAAAAAGAAAUAAAGAAGAAAAGUGAUAGUGAAAGACAGAUCAUGACGCAUUCAUGUAUGCACCAUCUGCUGCAUUCAUUUAGACAGCCGUGCUAUGAGGUUAAGCUAAGGUCAUAUUAGACUGUCACUUGUUGACAUUGAUGCAAUAAACACCCAAGCAUAUAUGGUGUGUCCUCAUACAUCUUAUGCAUUGUAUCAGUGUGUGUUUUUGUGUGUGACUAUACGUGUGAUGGAAGUUGAACUAUUGUCCUGUGUGUAUUGGUCUUCUAAAUACUGUAGCUACUAUAUAAUUUUCCUCAUGGGGAGGUCACCAUAGCAACAUGAACACACAA